rnacentral:rRNA from 1 species
AGUGAACGCUGGCGGUAGGCCUAACACAUGCAAGUCGAACGGCAGCACAGUAAUAGCUUGCUAUUACGGGUGGCGAGUCAAGGACGGGCGGGGAACAUACCGGAAUUUACCUUUUCGUGGGGGUAAACGUAGGGAAACUUAAGCUAAAACCGCAUACGAAAUAGGGGUGCAACCCUGGGUUCUUCGGACCUCGCCCGAUUGGAUGAGCCGAUGUCGGAUUGGCUAGUUGGGGGGGUAAAGGGCCACACAGGCCACGAUCCGUAGCGGGUCUGGGAGGAUGACCAGCCACACUAGAACUGAAACACGAUCCAGACUCCUACGGGACGCAGGGGUGGAGAAUAUUGGACAAGGGACGCGAGCCUGAUCCAGCCAUGCCGCGUGGGGUGAGGAAGCCUGCGGGCUGUAGAGCCAUUUUGUUGGGAAAGAAAAGCAGCAGGUUAUUACCCCGCUGUUCUGACGGUACCCAAAGAAUAAGCACCGGCUAACUUCGUG